rnacentral:rRNA from 1 species
CGCGUAGGCGGACAUUUAAGUCGGGGGUGAAAGCCCGGGGCUCAACCCGGAAUUGCCUCCGAUACUGGGUGUCUCGAGACCGGAAGAGGUGAGUGGAACUGCGAGUGUAGAGGUGAAAUUCGUAGAUAUUCGCAAGAACACCAGUGGCGAAGGCGGCUCACUGGUCCGGAUCUGACGCUGAGGCGCGAAAGCGUGGGGAGCAAACA